AGAUUGAAGGAAAUAAUCAAGUACAAAGGUUUUCAGGUUGCCCCUGCCGAAAUCGAAGCAAUGUUACUAGCACAUCCUGACAUAUCCGAUGCUGCUGUGGUUGGAAUGAAAGAUGAGGAUGCUGGAGAAGUACCGAUUGCAUUUGUAGUGAGAUCAGACAAAUCCCAAAUAACUGAAGAUGAAAUUAAGCAAUAUAUACACAAACAGGUGGUGUUUUACAAAAGAAUA
rnacentral:misc_RNA from 1 species